rnacentral:pre_miRNA from 1 species
UCUUAUGGAUGAGCAAAGAAAGUGGUUCCUUGAGGUGGAAACUAUUCCUGAUGAAGAUGCUGUAAA